rnacentral:rRNA from 1 species
CGUAGCCGCGGGAAUACGGAGGGUGCAAGCGUUAAUCGGAAUUACUGGGCGUAAAGCGCACGCAGGCGGUCUGACAAGUCAGAUGUGAAAUCCCCGGGCUUAACCUGGGAACUGCAUUUGAAACUGUCAGGCUGGAGUCUUGUAGAGGGGGGUGGAAUUCCAGGUGUAGCGGUGAAAUGCGUAGAGAUCUGGAGGAAUACCGGUGGCGAAGGCGGCCCCCUGGACAAAGACUGACGCUCAGGUGCGAAAGCGUGGGGAGCAAACAGGAUUAGAUACCCGGGUAGUCCCUGUCUCUUAUACA